rnacentral:rRNA from 1 species
GACGAACGCUGGCGGCGUGCUUAACACAUGCAAGUCGAACGGAAAGGCCCUGCUUUUGUGGGGUGCUCGAGUGGCGAACGGGUGAGUAACAUGUGAGUAACCUGCCCUUGACUUUGGGAUAACUUCAGGAAACUGGGGCUAAUACCGGAUAGGAGCUCCUGCUGCAUGGUGGGGGUUGGAAAGUUUCGGCGGUUGGGGAUGGACUCGCGGCUUAUCAGCUUGUUGGUGGGGUAGUGGCUUACCAAGGCUUUGACGGGUAGCCGGCCUGAGAGGGUGACCGGCCACAUUGGGACUGAGAUACGGCCCAGACUCCUACGGGAGGCAGCAGUGGGGAAUAUUGCACAAUGGGCGGAAGCCUGAUGCAGCAACGCCGCGUGCGGGAUGACGGCCUUCGGGUUGUAAACCGCUUUCGCCUGUGACGAAGCGUGAGUGACGGUAAUGGGUAAAGAAGCACCGGCUAACUACGUGCCAGCAGCCGCGGUGAUACGUAGGGUGCGAGCGUUGUCCGGAUUUAUUGGGCGUAAAGGGCUCGUAGGUGGUUGAUCGCGUCGGAAGUGUAAUCUUGGGGCUUAACCCUGAGCGUGCUUUCGAUACGGGUUGACUUGAGGAAGGUAGGGGAGAAUGGAAUUCCUGGUGGAGCGGUGGAAUGCGCAGAUAUCAGGAGGAACACCAGUGGCGAAGGCGGUUCUCUGGGCCUUUCCUGACGCUGAGGAGCGAAAGCGUGGGGAGCGAACAGGCUUAGAUACCCUGGUAGUCCACGCUGUAAACGGUGGGUACUAGGUGUGGGGUCCAUUCCACGGGUUCCGUGCCGUAGCUAACGCUUUAAGUACCCCGCCUGGGGAGUACGGCCGCAAGGCUAAAACUCAAAGGAAUUGACGGGGCCCCGCACAAGCGGCGGAGCAUGCGGAUUAAUUCGAUGCAACGCGUAGAACCUUACCUGGGUUUGACAUGGAUCGGGAGUGCUCAGAGAUGGGUGUGCCUCUUUUGGGGUCGGUUCACAGGUGGUGCAUGGCUGUCGUCAGCUCGUGUCGUGAGAUGUUGGGUUAAGUCCCGCAACGAGCGCAACCCUUGUUCACUGUUGCCAGCACGUUAUGGUGGGGACUCAGUGGAGACCGCCGGGGUCAACUCGGAGGAAGGUGGGGAUGACGUCAAGUCAUCAUGCCCCUUAUGUCCAGGGCUUCACGCAUGCUACAAUGGCUGGUACAGAGAGUGGCGAGCCUGUGAGGGUGAGCGAAUCUCGGAAAGCCGGUCUCAGUUCGGAUUGGGGUCUGCAACUCGACCUCAUGAAGUCGGAGUCGCUAGUAAUCGCAGAUCAGCAACGCUGCGGUGAAUACGUUCCCGGG